CCUACGGGGGGCAGCAGUGGGGAAUAUUGCACAAUGGGGGAAACCCUGAUGCAGCGACGCCGCGUGAGUGAAGAAGUAUUUCGGUAUGUAAAGCUCUAUCAGCAGGGAAGAAAAUGACGGUACCUGACUAAGAAGCCCCGGCUAACUACGUGCCAGCAGCCGCGGUAAUACGUCGGGGGCCAGCGUUAUCCGGAUGUACUGGGUGUAAAGGGGGCGUAGACGGUAGCGCAAGUCUGAAGUGAAAUCCCAUGGCUUAACCAUGGAACUGCUUUGGAAACUGGGAAGCUGGAGUGCAGGAGAGGUAAGCGGAAUGCGUGGUGUAGCGGUGAAAUGCGUAGAUAUUAGGAAGAACACCAGUGGCGAAGGCGGCUUACUGGACUGUAACUGACGUUGAGGCUCGAAAGCGUGGGGAGCAAACAGGAUUAGAUACCCCGGUAGUC
rnacentral:rRNA from 1 species